ACCCUUUGGGGUGUGACUGCGUACCUUUUGUAUAAUGGGUCAGCGACUUAUAUUCUGUAGCAAGGUUAACCGAAUAGGGGAGCCGGAGGGAAACCGAGUCUUAAUUGGGCGUUAAGUUGCAGGGUAUAGACCCGAAACCCGGUGAUCUAGCCAUGGGCAGGUUGAAGGUUGGGUAACACUAACUGGAGGACCGAACCGACUAAUGUUGAAAAAUUAGCGGAUGACCUGUGGCUGGGGGUGAAAGGCCAAUCAAACCGGGAGAUAGCUGGUUCUCCCCGAAAGCUAUUUAGGUAGCGCCUCGUGAACUCAUCUCCGGGGGUAGAGCACUGUUUCGGCUAGGGGGCCAUCCCGGCUUACCAACCCGAUGCAAACUGCGAAUACCGGAGAAUGUUAUCACGGGAGACACACGGCGGGUGCUAACGUCCGUCGUGAAGAGGGAAACAACCCAGACCGCCAGCUAAGGUCCCAAAGUCAUGGUUAAGUGGGAAACGAUGUGGGAAGGCCCAGACAGCCAGGAUGUUGGCUUAGAAGCAGCCAUCAUUUAAAGAAAGCGUAAUAGCUCACUGGUCGAGUCGGCCUGCGCGGAAGAUGUAACGGGGCUAAACCAU
rnacentral:rRNA from 1 species